UACGAAGGGGGCUAGCGUUGCUCGGAAUCACUGGGCGUAAAGCGCACGUAGGCGGAUUGCUAAGUCAGGGGUGAAAUCCUGGAGCUCAACUCCAGAACUGCCUUUGAUACUGGCGAUCUUGAGUCCGGGAGAGGUGAGUGGAACUGCGAGUGUAGAGGUGAAAUUCGUAGAUAUUCGGAGGAACACCAGUGGCGAAGGCGGCUCACUGGCUCGACACUGACGCUGAGGUGCGAAAGCGUGGGGAGCAAACAGG
rnacentral:rRNA from 1 species